CGGGUCCGCCAAGUCGCAGCGCCGCACCUGCGCCCGGCCGGUGGCCUGCAGCACUCGCACCAUGGCAGCCGCCAGCUCCUCCUUGGCCUGGGCAGACAGCGCGGACUCCAGCGCCCCGCAGAGGCGCGCGUAGUGGAAGCCGCUUGAGCAAUCCCUGUGGGAAGAACGAUAUCCGUGGGACAGAACCCUGUUCUCCCUCCUCAACUUCUUUUGCCCCAGGGUGACCUGGGUCGUCUGCUGGUUUGGGGGGACCACAACCUCAGGCUGUUUUAGCAGUAAUAAUAAAGGCAACCAACAUU